rnacentral:sRNA from 1 species
UUAUUAUUAGGUCACAGAAGAGCCCGCUUUUCUAUUACUCUGAUGAUGGCAAAAAUUUGUCCUAGGGUCCCUUCCUCUCAACCGUGCGCAUGGCAUGCUUUUGUGCAUCAUUCGACGAGGGUGUGGAAUACAGAAACGUUGCUGUGUUGCACGCAGUUGCCAAACAGUGAGUUUCCUGUUUGUAAAUGAAACGCAUGGCAAUCUCGAUUACUCCAUCCAAAUGUGCACUGCUUUCAAGAAGGCGUAUAGCCAACUGAGGAAGCAAGCAAGCUGGUCAUUGUAUGUAAUAGGACAGGAUAAUGGAGGUAUUGGUGAAGAUCUGGUGUACCUGAGAUAGGUAGGCGGUAUAAAGGUGGUUAGAAAGCAGGUGGAAUUGCCAUACGGCUGUGUGCCCGAAUCAAGUAGCAGGCGGUUUUAUUAGUUCAAGUGCAAUAGUAGUAACGACGGUGUGAGGGACACAGCGCAGCUUAGUCAUGGGAAGGCAUAUAUGGUCAAAGUAAAUCAAUGGUGGAUAGAUAAAUUUAGUGUCGAU